rnacentral:rRNA from 1 species
UGGGGAAUUUUGGACAAUGGGGGAAACCCUGAUCCAGCCAUCCCGCGUGUGCGAUGAAGGCCUUCGGGUUGUAAAGCACUUUUGGCAGGAAAGAAACGUCAUGGGUUAAUACCCCGUGAAACUGACGGUACCUGCAGAAUAAGCACCGGCUAACUACGUGCCAGCAGCCGCGGUAAUACGUAGGGUGCAAGCGUUAAUCGGAAUUACUGGACGUAAAGCGUGCGCAGGCGGUUCGGAAAGAAAGAUGUGAAAUCCCGGAGCUCAACUUUGGAACUGCAUUUUUAACUACCGGGCUAGAGUGUGUCAGAGGGGGGUGGAAUUCCGCGUGUAGCAGUGAAAUGCGUAGAUAUGCGGAGGAACACCGAUGGCGAAGGCAGCCUCCUGGGAUAACACUGACGCUCAUGCACGAAAGCGUGGGGAGCAAACAGG